rnacentral:lncRNA from 1 species
GUCAACUUCAACAUGGCUCUAUAUUCAGCCUCAGCACUAGAACAAGAGACAACCUUCUGCUUCUUACUCUUCCAUGUAACCAAGUUCCCUCCAAUGAAGGUACAAUACCCAGUAGUUGAUCUCCUAUCAACUCUAUCUCCAGCCCAGUCAGCAUCACAAUAACCAACCACUUCUGUACUCCUAUUGCAUCCCAUCCAGACUCCUUGGCCGCUAGAGCCAUUCAAAUACCUCAAGAUCCUGUCUACCAUAAUCCAAUGGUGCAUCUUUGAAGCUUGCAUAUGCUGGCUAACUUGAUUCACAGCGAAACAUAUGUCUGGCCUGGUGAUUGUCAAGUAGAUCAGCUUCCCAACCAUCUUCCUAUACAGCUUAGCAUCUUCAAAUGGUUGAUUGUUUUCAAUCUCCCCCUCAAGUAAAACCUUAUACCCAUCCUCAAGUGGUGUCCUAGCUGUCUUUCCUCCAAGCUUACCAGCGCCCUUCAAUAGAUCCACAGUGUACUUCCUUUGAGACAUGAACAAGCCCUCCUUAGAUCUGCAUAUCUCAAUACCCAGAAAAUACUUCAUCUCUCCCAAAUCCUUGAUGUCAAACACUGAUUUGAGAAACUCCUUAGUAGCCUGGAUCCCUGCCUUAUCACUUCCUGUGAUAAUCAAAUCAUCCACAUACACUAGAAUCACAAUGAUCCCUGAAGGUCCUGUCAAGGUGAAGAGAGUGUGAUCCAGUUCAGACUUCCUAAAUCCUCUCCCAUUGAGAGUUGUACUCAGCUUCCUGUACCAAGCUCUAGGUGGCUGUUUCAGCCCAUAUAUUGUCUUCUUCAAUCUCAAGACAUUCCCUGGCUUUACUAGAUGCUCAAGACCAGGAGGUGGAUGCAUGUAUACUUCAUCUUCCAGUUCACCUUGCAGGAAAGCAUUCUUCACAUCCAUUUGCCAUAGAUCCCACUCCAAGUUUGUUACAAUGGAUAACACAAUUUGAAUUGUGUGAAGCUUAGCCACUGGUGCAAAAGUAUCAAUGUAGUCUUCCCCAUAAGUCUGUGUAAACCCUCUUGCCACCAGCCUAUUUUUGCGUCUCUCAAUAGUUCCAUCUGCCCGGUACUUGAUUGUGAAGAUCCAUCUGCUAGACACAGCCUUCUUCCCUCUUGGUAAUUCACUCUCAUACCAAGUGUCAUUUCUGAUCAUUGCAUCCCUUUCAUCACCCACUGAGUUUCUCCAGACCUUAUGUUUCAUGGCUUCCUCAUAAGACCUUGGGAUCUCAUUCUCAUCCAGAUUACACAUGAAGACCACAUGCUCCUCUGGAUAUGUUGCAAACGAACAUACUGCUUGAGUCGGAUGUGCUAAAACCCUUAUAAAGCCUUAUAAAACCUUAUAAAGUCUGGCAGCUUAAUUCUCAAGUCUGGCAGCUUAAUUCUCAAGUCUGGCAGCUUAAUCUCUUCACUUCUUGAUCUUCAUCUCAACACUCCCCCUCAAGCUAGACUAAGUGAACUUGUCUAGCUUGAGAAACCAUGAAGAUCUCCCUCAUUAAAAACCUCAACAAGGAAAACCCAUUGGGAUAAAACCUUGAUGAGGGAAAAAGAGUGGAGACUCCAUGGUUAAGGGGAUCAGCUCCUGGAAGUAAGAUCAAUGAGUCCAAGCCUUGAUAGUAUGGACUCUAUUGUCUUCUGCCUCGCUGCCUUAGUAAACACAUCAGCCAGUUGAUCCUCACUCCUUGUGUAGCAUGGCAGUAUUACUCCUAGGACAAUCAUCUGCCUCACCUUGUGACAAUCAACUUCUAUGUGCUUUGUUCUCUCAUGAAACACAGAAUUAGAAGCGAUGUGGAUAGCAGCCUGAUUAUCACAAUGCAUUGUCAUGGGAGUGGUCUGCUCAAUACUCAAAUGCUUCAAUAUCCCUUUGAUCCACACUAGCUCAUUUGUCAACUUCAACAUGGCUCUAUAUUCAGCCUCAGCACUAGAACAAGAGACAACCUUCUGCUUCUUACUCUUCCAUGUAACCAAGUUCCCUCCAAUGAAGGUACAAUACCCAGUAGUUGAUCUCCUAUCAACUCUAUCUCCAGCCCAGUCAGCAUCACAAUAACCAACCACCUCUGUACUUCUAUUGCAUCCCAUCCAGACUCCUUGGCCGCUAGAGCCAUUCAAAUACCUCAAGAUCCUGUCUACCAUAAUCCAAUGGUGCAUCUUUGGAGCUUGCAUAUGCUGGCUAACUUGAUUCACAGCGAAACAUAUGUCUGGCCUGGUGAUUGUCAAGUAGAUCAGCUUCCCAACCAUCUUCCUAUACAGCUUAGCAUCUUCAAAUGGUUGAUUGUUUUCAAUCUCCCCCUCAAGUAAAACCUUAUACCCAUCCUCAAGUGGUGUCCUAGCUGUCUUUCCUCCAAGCUUACCAGCGCCCUUCAAUAGAUCCACAGUGUACUUCCUUUGAGACAUGAACAAGCCCUCCUUAGAUCUGCAUAUCUCAAUACCCAGAAAAUACUUCAUCUCUCCCAAAUCCUUGAUGUCAAACACUGAUUUGAGAAACUCCUUAGUAGCCUGGAUCCCUGCCUUAUCACUUCCUGUGAUAAUCAAAUCAUCCACAUACACUAGAAUCACAAUGAUCCCUGAAGGUCCUGUCAAGGUGAAGAGAGUGUGGUCCAGUUCAGACUUCCUAAAUCCUCUCCCAUUGAGAGUUGUACUCAGCUUCCUGUACCAAGCUCUAGGUGGCUGUUUCAGCCCAUAUAUUGUCUUCUUCAAUCUCAAGACAUUCCCUGGCUUUACUAGAUGCUCAAGACCAGGAGGUGGAUGCAUGUAUACUUCAUCUUCCAGUUCACCUUGCAGGAAAGCAUUCUUCACAUCCAUUUGCCACAGAUCCCACUCCAAGUUUGUUGCAAUGGAUAACACAAUUCGAAUUGUGUGAAGCUUAGCCACUGGUGCAAAAGUAUCAAUGUAGUCUUCCCCAUAAGUCUGUGUAAACCCUCUUGCCACCAGCCUGGUUUUGCGUCUCUCAAUAGUUCCAUCUGCCCGGUACUUGAUUGUGAAGAUCCAUCUGCUAGACACAGCCUUCUUCCCUCUUGGUAAUUCACUCUCAUACCAAGUGUCAUUUCUGAUCAUUGCAUCCCUUUCAUCACCCACUGAGUUUCUCCAGACCUUAUGUUUCAUGGCUUCCUCAUAAGACCUUGGGAUCUCAUUCUCAUCCAGAUUACACAUGAAGACCACAUGCUCCUCUGGAUAUGUUGCAAACGAACAUACUGCUUGAGUCGAAUGUGCUACAGCCUCCGCAUU